AACGUAGGAGACGAGCGUUAUCCGGAAUUACUGGGCGUAAAGCGCGUGUAGGCGGAAGUGUAAGUCUUUUGUGAAAGCUCCUGGCUAAACUGGGAGAGGUCGAAAGAUACUGCACAUCUGGAGUAUGGGAGAGGGGUGUGGAAUUCCGGGUGUAGUGGUGAAAUGCGUAGAUAUCCGGAGGAACACCAGUGGCGAAGGCGGCACCCUGGCCCAAGACUGACGCUAAGACGCGAAAGCAUGGGGAGCGAACGGG
rnacentral:rRNA from 1 species